rfam:Oryza sativa Japonica Group DNA, chromosome 2, cultivar: Nipponbare, complete sequence.
AAAAAGAGUAAACCCUGGGUUUCCGUGCCAACGUUUGACUGUCCGUUUCGUUUUAUAUGAAAUUCUUUUAUAAUUAGUAUUUUAUUAUUGUUAGAUGAUAAAACAUGAUUAAUACUUUAUGCGUGACUUAUCUUUUUAAUUUUUUUCAUAAUUUUUUCAAAUAAGAUGAACAGUCAAACGUUGGACACGAAAACCAGGGUUUAUCUUUUU